rnacentral:rRNA from 1 species
GUGUCAGCCGCCGCGGUAAAACGUAGGAGCCAAGCGUUAUCCGAAUUCACUGGGCGUAAAGCGCGUGCAGGCGGCCUGGUAAGUUGGAUGUGAAAUCUCCCGGCUCAACUGGGAGAGGCCGUUCAAGACUAUCAGGCUCGAGGGCGACAGAGGGAGGUGGAAUUCCGGGUGUAGUGGUGAAAUGCGUAGAUAUCCGGAGGAACACCAGAGGCGAAGGCGACCUCCUGGGUCGCACCUGACGCUGAGAUGCGAAAGCUAGGGGAGCAAACGGGAUUAGAAACCCCUGUAGUCC